UACGGAGGUGGCAAGCGUUACUCGGUUUGACUAGGUGUAAAGGGUCCGUAGGCGGCCUUGUAAGUGGAAGGUGAAAUCUUUUGGCUUAACCAAAAAACUGCCUUUCAAACUGCUUGGCUGGAGGUUGUGAGGGGAUAGUGGAACUGCUAGUGUAAAGGUGAAAUUUGUGGAUAUUAGCAGGAACGCCCGUGGAGAAGUCGGCUAUCUGGCACAAACCUGACGCUGAGGGACGAAAGCUAGGGGAG
rnacentral:rRNA from 1 species